AUCGCUUCUCGGCCUUUUGGCUAAGAUCAAGUGUAGUAUCUGUUCUUAUCAGUUUAAUAUCUGAUACGUCCCCCAUCGGGGGACUACAUAUUAAAUGGAUUUUUCGAACAGGGAGUUCGGAAAUGGGGCUUGCUCCGUCCGCUCCACGCAUCGAACCCGGUAUUGCAGUACCUCCGGGAACGGUGCAACACUU
rnacentral:snRNA from 1 species